rnacentral:lncRNA from 1 species
UGUUGAAUUCAACAUUAACGCGGGUGCGACUGGGUGGCAGAGUGGUGACGGAAAGUAUUAUUAUUAUAAACAGUCAUUUGGAGUCUCUAAGCAUGUGCUUCCGGGCCGCUGGUGGUUCGACCGAGGGUUUGUCAUUUGGUGGAUUCUGGGUUUCCCUUGCUCUCAUAGUUUCUAUCGUUUCGUGGGUUGCUGCCUGGGGUGGGAGCUUGAUCGUCUUUAUUGCUUUCUCACGGUCCCAUUCUAUAAGUAGUGAAAGCAACCCUCCAUUCUAUACAGCAGAACCUGAACCAACAAAGCACGGAUGAAAGCAUGUACAUACCCGUGCCUUACAGUAUGAGUAAGUCAACAGUGAUAAGAACAUUAGCUAAGAACGCUAAGCGAAAGAUUGCGACUAAAAGAGCACCGACACUGUUUAACGCAUUGCG